rnacentral:lncRNA from 1 species
ACACUUCCUGGUCCUCUCUGGCUGCGUCUGAGGGCCUUAGCUCUGGCCAGGGGCGCUGCAACGGGCUCAGCCUUCUAGGGGUGGCGGGUGAAGGCCUACACCUGCCCCAGGACGGCCAGGUCCACCAGCACCUGCAACAGACGGAGAACUGAAGGAGCAUCUUGAAGCUGUGGCUGUCUUGAAGGUGUCGCCGCUUGUCCUCACGAGCACCAUUUUGAUUCUCGUGCCCUGUGUGCAUGGGUGGCCAGCGUUGCUGGUAGGGCUCCUGCACGCUCAGAGUGGCCUUGGCCAGGAAGUCCAGGGUUUCCGCAGGCAGAGUGUAUGAACAAGGUACUGAGAAGAUCACAUACUGCAUGUCCUCCUAAAACCUGGUCCUGGCAUAACCUUCUAAGCUGUUUUAUUCAGGCUGGAGUGCAGUGGUGCGAUCUCGGCUCACUGCAACCUCGGACUCCCUGGUUCAAGUGUUUCUCCUCCUCAGCCUCCCGAGUAGCUGGGAUUACAGGCACGUGCCACCACACCGAGCUAAUUUAUUGUAUUUGUAGUAGGGACAGAGUUUCACCAUGUUAGCCAGGAUGGUCUCAAUCUCCUGACCUCAUGAUCCGCCCGCCUCUGCCUCCCAAAGUGCUGGGAUUACAGGCUUGAGCCACCGCGCCCGGCCUAUAUACUGUAUUCUUACAAUAAAGUAAGACAGAGAAAAGAAAAUGUUAUUAAGAAAGUCAUAAAGAAGAGAAAACAUAUUUACUAAUCAUUAAGUGGAAGUAGAUCAUCACAAAAGUCUUCAUCCUCAUUGUCCUCACAUUCAGUAGACUGAGGAGGAGGAGAAGCAGAAGAGAUUGGUCGCUGUCUCAUGGUGGCAAAGACAGAAAAGGUGGAGGCUGUGAAAAGGGAGGUAAGAGGCAGACACACCGGUGUAAAUUUUAUUGAAAAACGUCCACAUAUGAAAACCGCGCAGUUUAAAAUCUUGUUGUUCAAGACUCUAGUAUAUUAAAUAAAUCAGUGUGUUUUCCUCCUA